CUUUCUCCGCCGGCGGCCGGCGCACGGGUGAGUAACACGUAUGCAACCUGCCCCUGUCAGGGGGACAACCCGCCGAAAGGCGGGCUAAACCCGCGUACAUGCCACCGGGGCAUCCCGGAGGCAGGAAAGGCUUCGGCCGGACAGGGAUGGGCAUGCGGCGCAUUAGGCAGUAGGCGGGGUAACGGCCCACCUAACCGACGAUGCGUAGGGGUUCUGAGAGGAAGGUCCCCCACACUGGUACUGAGACACGGACCAGACUCCUACGGAAGGCAGCAG
rnacentral:rRNA from 1 species